rnacentral:lncRNA from 10 species
CUCAGUCACAGUUGUCAGAGCCAGUCUUGGUGAUUUCUUUUAGCUGAUUGCAGCCACUCUCAUCUUCGAUGACUCUGCUUGGUGCAGAAUAUCACUUCUGCAUCUGCUCAUUUGUCCAAACAUUCCAUAAGGAUUAUCCAGCUCUGCGUCAACACUGCCUGGAGCAGGAGGACAGCGAGGUGAAGAGGGCCGAGCUCUCCUAUUCAGAUGGACCUUGUCAUUUUGUUUUAUUCCCCCUCCUUGAACCCUUCAUAAACAAUUCAAAGAAAUGUACAAACCCAUGUGACAAGCAGUGAAGCUCACCUGGCAGCCACUGCCUGUCUGGGGCCAAGACUCAAGUGUGGCUGAGCAGGACAGAGGGUUCCCAGUCAGGAGAUGUCAGCCAUAGGUUGAGCUGUAAGAUGCCCUGAGGUCUUAGGGACAGUGAGUGUCCCCUGAAGACCACAACAGCACCACGAGAUGCUAGGGAGAGCUGUGUCAAAUGCUGUUCCUAUGGACUCCAAGCCAAGAGGGUCUGCCAGAGGCUAAAUGAAUUGUUAUUUCUUAUGAAGAGAACAGGAAAAAGUAAACAGAAAAUAUUCAAAGCUAUGAGAAGGCUUUUCUGGAAUAAGGAAAUAUUUCACAAUGCAGAUUAACCCACAAGAAACACAUUCUGGAGAACACACAACAAGGCACAGCCCGUGAAAUUACUGUAUCUCAAGGAUGAAGAAUCAUGUGACUGGUUAAACAAACAGUGACACAUUCAUGCCACAGAAUAGUAUUCGGCAAUAAAAAGGAAUGAAAUAUUGAUACAUGCAACAACAUGGAUGGAUCUCGGGGGAUUAUGUGGAGUGAAAAAAGCCGGUAUCAAAAGUAGGAAAUGAAAUCGCAUAUGAGGGGACUAAGACUCUACUGUAUGACAAAUGAUUCACUUACAUUAUGUCUAAGCCUCAGAACAAAAACACAGCCAUCCCCAGAUGUUUCACAACUGGCAGAUAGAAUUUAAAAUCAAAUUCUAACAGCCUCUUAUCUUGCGUGGGCUCUCAGCGUACACACCCCUACUCAGCCCUGCCUAAGAAAUUCACAAAGGAUCCAGGCCCAAUGCACGCUCAAGAACAAGCCUGUGUCACCUGGAUGCCCACAUCUCUGUGACCUGGCACCUGUGUUGUUACUUCCGGCUAUCCCCUCACUCCUCCAUCUCCCUGGGUCUCACAGGCUCUGCGAGUCCUCAGUCCCUACUCUUCUGAGAGAAUGUGCCCUACCCAAGGCAUUUUUCCCAGGACUUCCAAAGCUGCAAAGCCUUUGCAAUAACCCCAGGCAUUAAAUACUCAAGCAUCUCCUUCUGCCUGCUACCGUUUGCAUUGCCAGCAAAAUAUCUUUUAGAGUUACUUUUUGGAGUUAGAGUAAAUAUUUCUAUUUCCUUCUUGCAGUGGCAGUACCCAAAGAACAUAGAGAAAGCCCUUAGCCAGGGCUAUAUAAUGCCCAACUCAACAUGACCCUUGUCUUCCUCUCCAGCCUUAUCCCCAGCAAAUUCCUUGUUCUUAGAAACUCACAUUCUAACAGUAGUGAGCAGCCCGUAGGCCGCUUCAUACCUCUUUGCCUUGUGUGAUCUUGCUCUCUCUCCAACUCCAUUCUAACAUGGUUGAAAAUGUGCUUCCUCCAUUCUGAGAGGAUCUGGGCAGCAGAGUUCAUCUUUGUGUCCUCUGUACCCUAUGGUUUGUCCAAACACAUUCUGCUGUUAUCGAAUCAGGUUCACAGUUUUGCCUUGUUUUGUUUCAAUUUGGAUCUUCUAUACUAGUCUGCUCCUCAGAGGUCCAGUCAAUGUUUACAUUCCUUUGGGCAUCCUUGCCACUUAGCAGAGUGCCUGGCCCAUAACUGAUGUUCAACGAACAAUUGUUAGUGAAUGAGUGAGUGAAAAAUGAAUAAACAAAUUACAGUCUUCAAAGGGACAUGGUAGCAAGAGAUCACCAUAGGGACCUUCAUGGAUUGAGCUGAAGGUUGCCCUUGAGAAUCGCAUCGAGCUCUCCAAGCAUCAUUGUAUUGGUGUAAAAAGUAACAUAAGAGGUAAGAGUGCGUGAAGAAAUGCAGAGAGCACGACCAAGUUCCAAAUAAUGGCAGCUGCUGGCUUUCUCAUGAGAGUCUCGGAAAGCUGAGACACAUUAGGCAAUGGCCGCUGCUAGGAGCCAAGGGAACCACCAAUGGCAGACGCACUAGUGAUGCUGGUUCGGGAAGGGCUGCAACUCCAAGGGCCGCUGGGUGGAAGGUGAUGGCAGGCUUCCUGCCGCCAGCUCACAUCAGGACAGCGUCCACCCAUCGGGAGGCAUCAAACACAGGCCAUCCGGGACUUCCGUCUCUGCCAGAAAACCACGACCCUCUCCCUCCCACACGGCAUCCUCUCCGCUAUCCCAGUGGGCAGGGCAGAGAUUGUUUUCAAUACAUUCUCCUGAAAAGAGAGAGAAAGCCAUUUUCCCAACAGAAAGCCAGGGAGCAAGAAGAUCUCAGUGAGCCUUUCAGCCAGCGACUGGAAACUUGAACGGACCCAAUCUUCACAUUUUGAUAAAAGGCAAGGGGCAGGGAAGGGGGUUGGAGCUAGAAACAGGAUAACAAGAACGGAGGUCAUGUGAAAUCUAGUGAGAGAAGUGUUCAGUAAAAACCAAUACAAACACAAAAAAAAGAGACGAAUUUCAAACCAAAAUGAGGGUUUAAUAAUUCUUUUAUUGCUGGAAAGAACUGAGUUCUUCCAAUUUCUCAUCGUGAGAAAGGAACUAAUAUGUGCCUGAUGCUGAAAGUCCAGCAAACCAUUUCAAUUGCUGAGUUUUCCAGGUAAUGGGGUAUUUCUUUUGUAAAAGCUAACAUUUCCUAAAUUUUCGUGUUUUCUUCCUCUGUUGCACCUGUGGCGUAUGAAAUUCAAACAAGUCACCUAGAUUAAAAUAUUUCUGCGAAGGCUAUUAAACAGUGCUGCUUGUGCCUCCGUUUUUUUUUCUUCCUUUCUUUCUUUCUUUUUUUUUUUUUUUUUUUACUGAAAGCAAGUUUUUGGUGUAGAAAUUAAAUAUCUAAUGCAAAUUUUUAGAAAUAGAUGUGAAGCUUUUCUUAAAAUUCACUAAAAUGUCCAGGGUGCUGUAAUAAUUUUGCUACUAUGACUGUUGGACCUAGGAAGAAAUUCACCUUGUGCUUAAAUACAAAGUAUUUCAAAAUAAACUAGUGUUUAUUGAUCGUAAAGCAGUAAAUACUCUUUAAACAAAAACAUAAAAAUGCAGAGAAGUAGAAAAAAGAAAACAAUCACUUCUUAGUGCCAUUGUACAAAUACAACCAUGUUUUUAAGAGUACAUUUCUUUUCAGCGUUUUCCCUCUCUGUAAAGGGGUCUUGUUUUCAAAGUUGUCAUUAACUCCAUGUACAAUUUAUGUGAUGACUUUAUACAAAAUGUCAUCUUAAUUAUAAAUGUCACAAUAGCAAUAACAAGGUUGGGCGUGGUGGCUCAUGCCUGUAAUCCCAGCACUUUGGGAGGCCGAGGCAGGCAGAUCACCUAAGGUCAGGAGUUCGAGACCAGUCUGGCCAAUGCGGUGAAAUCCUGUUUCUACUAAAAGUAUAAAAAUUAGCUGGGCAUGAUGGUGGGCGCCUGUAAUCCCAGCUACUUGGGAGGCUGAGGCAGGAGAAUUGCUUGAAUCCAGGAGGUGAAGGUUGCAGUGAGCUGAGAUUGCGCCAUUGCACUACAGCCUGGACGACAAGAGCAAAACUCUAUCUAAAAAAAAAAAUAAAAAAAAAAAUAACAAUGACUACCAUCUGUGGAAUAUUUUCAUGUCAUAGCUGCUUUAUAUGCACCAACUCUAAUCCACCCGAUCCAAUGCAGGAAGUGAAAUUCUUUCUCAUUGUAGUGACUACAGUAGUCCUAUGUGAAAUAUGUAAGUGUAUUUCCAGGGCCUCCACAGGUUCACUUGUAAAUUUAGACUAGCCUUAAAAAUGCCUUAUUUACCCACAAAGACAGCACUUCCAAGCUGAAAGAGCAACAACAGUUGCUGGUGUGCAAUCUCAUUUUUAAAAAGAGAGAAUUAGGGCCAAAAUAGAUUACGCAAUUUGCUCAAAGCCACACAGUGACCCAAGGUCUUGGGGUCAGCCUGCCCUAAGCCUGUUGAUUGCUCUCUAGGGCUUUCUACAACUUCCACCACCUUUCAAUCAGUGCCACUACAAUUAGCUUUCAGUAGGGGAGGCUGCUUGGAGCUUUCUUGCCCCUCAUACCUCUUCCCAGUUCUUGCUAGGGAGCUCUCUGGAAAGCUAUAACAGAAAUAUAGUAUACAUUAUGUAAAUAUUCCUUUUCUGUCUUGAAUUCAUACAUAGUUCCUGCCAGAGAGAUGCAAAUUUGUCCUAAAACUCUCUUGGGCCCUCUUUGGGGCUGAAGUCUUUGUUUUCUGAAGAGAAAGACAUUUUCUGUAAUUUUACCACACAAUGAGAAGAGCAUUUUAAUAACAAGAGCAAAAUCAUCUCAAGCUCGCAUUUCUCCCACAUUCUUCUGUCUCUCCAGUAGGCCCUGGAGUGGAGUGAUCUGAAGCAGGGUGGCAUUCUUGGGGUAGAGGAUGUAAUCUACAAUGAUAAAAAAGGACUCCUGUGUUAGAGAUACUAUAACAAAGAGGCAAGAAACAC